CGGGGGGGGCAAGCGUUGUUCGGAAUUACUGGGCGUAAAGGGCUCGUAGGUGGCCAACUAAGUCAGACGUGAAAUCCCUCGGCUUAACCGGGGAACUGCGUCUGAUACUGGAUGGCUAGAGUUUGGGAGAGGGAUGCGGAAUUCCAGGUGUAGCGGUGAAAUGCGUAGAUAUCUGGAGGAACACCGGUGGCGAAGGCGGCAUCCUGGACCAACACUGACGCUGAGGAGCGAAAGCCAGGGGAGCAAACGGGAUUAGAUACCCCGGUAGUCCUGGCCCUAAACGAUGAAUGCUUGGUGUGGCGGGUAUCGAUCCCUGCCGUGCCGAAGCUAACGCAUUAAGCAUUCCGCCUGGGGAGUACGGUCGCAAGGCUG
rnacentral:rRNA from 1 species